rnacentral:tRNA from 1 species
GCGGGAAUAGCUCAGUUGGUAGAGCGUCUGCUUCCCAAGCAGAAGGCCGCGGGUUCGAGUCCCGUUUCCCGCUCCA